GCUGGAACAUUUAUACCUGCUUUAUGUCUGAACUACUGCCAGUCCUAUCCACUGGUGAAAAGGAAGCAUAAUGAUCAGAAACAGCUUGUGUGUUAGCCUGUGUCUAUCUUAUGCAGAACAAAGGUGAAGAUGUAAGUCCCAUGCAAGUUUUACACCCUGUAACUAUGAAAAGAACCUACAGAAGCCCAUAGGGAGUUUGCAUGGAGAUGUGCAGUUUUGGAGGAGUAACAAAACUUAUGAGCAGGACUCAUUGAGAGAGAAUAAUUCCAGGUACAUUUAAUUUGCUAUCAUGGCAUGCUUAUAACCUGUCUGCCCAAUCUGGGCUCAUUUGCAAGGAAUGA
rnacentral:lncRNA from 1 species